GCGAAAAGAGGAGAUGGUAGAUGAAAUAUUAUAAAUGGAAAAUAAAAAAAAUAAAAUAAAAUCGUCACCACAGGUUUCUGGUGCUUCGACCAUCCAGGCGCGUCGCUCCGGUGGAGACAGAGAAGGGGAAGCUCGCCGGAGGAUUCGAAUCAGCUCCGUUUCCGAUGACGACGUCGUUCAGCGUGCUGAGCAGGGGCGGAGGAGUAGGCGGGGGUAGCUCUUCCCGCACCAUACUGAUAACGGGAGUGAGCAAGGGGCUGGGCCGCGCCCUCGCCUUGGAAAUGGCCAAGCGCGGCCACACCAUCAUCGGCUGCUCCCGCACCGCUGACAAGCUCAAGGCACUCCAGUCUGAUCUUCCCGACUCCAAGCACCUCUUCAUGAACGUCGAUGUCAGAUCGAAUAGCAGUGUGGAGGAGCUUGCGCGCAUCGUCAUGGAGAAGAAGGGUCCUCCAGACAUCAUAGUGAACAAUGCGGGUACGAUAAACAAGAACAACAAGAUCUGGGAGGUUCCUGAGGAGGACUUUGAUGCAGUGCUCGAUACGAAUGUGAAAGGAACAGCAAAUGUGCUGAGGCACUUCCUCCCUCCCAUGGUCGAAAAGAAGCAUGGGAUUAUCGUCAACUUCUCCUCUGGUUGGGGCAGAUCAGGCGCUGCACUGGUUGCUCCUUAUUGUGCAUCAAAAUGGGCUAUUGAGGGUCUGACCAGGGCGGUGGCAAAGGAGUUGCCCGAGGGAAUGGCAGUUGUCGCCCUUAACCCCGGUGUGAUAAACACUGACAUGCUCGCUUCCUGCUUUGGCAGUUCAGCUUCCCUUUACCAGGCUCCCGAUGCAUGGUUGCAACUGUCUGCUCAGAAACCUCAAUUUUGAGCGUUUCUCACCAUGGAAAUAUCACCCACUGAAGUCUUUAUAGUGCUUGAUCCAUCUGCGCACCAGAGAAGGAUGAUGGCAGUCAAGGCAGCAGCAAUGAUAUUAAAUCUCACGGGAUCAGAUAAUGGUGCAUCGCUGACUGUUUGAGGCGAAUAAUCGACUCAACUAAUUCAUGCGUUUUCUGCAUAUGUAAGAGUAGCUUGUUACCAAGGUAGCAAAUUGAUAAUUGUCCUACCAAUUUGUAGCUUGAUUCUUGUAGAUCCGGUCAUAUGCUGAUUUGCUUUUAGGGAACAAUCAUGCUCUGUUUGUGACGUUGCAUUUUUCUGUUCCCUUUCACCGGAAGGGAGAACUACCUCUGAAUUGUCUCACUUUUGUUCAUGGAUUUAGCAGAGACACUAGACAGAGUGGAUACUUCUUGUAAUUACCAUGGUCAGAUAAAUUUUCCUGGCUAGAUAACUGUGUUGAGGCAGAUUAUUGGCUCAAGGAAACUAGGGAAGAGCAAUAAGUUUUAUUUGAUUUAGAAGUAGGAAAGAAAGUUUUACAGAGGUAGCAACACAGGCAGACGUUGUCCAUGCAAAUGCCAUAGGUAGCAUUCGAGGGGUACGUUUUCUUGCAGCCGCUGUCACAUGGGCUCAUUUUGCAGCCCUUGGGGUCCCUCCAUAACAAUGACUGGCACUCGUCAGACUCUUUCUGUGCCUCCACCGCUCGGGCCCUAACAUCACUUCCUGCAAUGACAUUCCCAUUAUUUAUCCAUUCCAAAGUUAAUUAGAUUGAGCUUUUUAUUGA